AGAAUAUCGAGCCAAUUAAAGAGCAAAUAGCUCUCCGUGAUGCCUUCUGCUAAGGUCAACUGCAUCUCGUCAAUUUGUAGACGUGUAUCUCAUCUUCUAUGGAUACAUAAAGGAAAAAUUAUGGAAGCAGUUCCAAAGACAAGAGGAAGGUCAAGAAGUUGUAGCCCUCGACCUAGCAAAUGCAUGACGGAUGUAAUUCUGCGGUGAGACCAACAAGUAAGAGUAACAGGAUUUUAACUUUCUCUAUGGUCAACCUUGCAUAACAGAACU